AGCUCCAAUAGCGUAUAUUAAAGUUGUUGCGGUAAAAAAGCUCGUAGUUGGAUUUCUGUUGAGAACGACCGGUCCAUACCAUGUAUGCGUAUCUGGUUCGAUCUCGGCAUCCUCUCGAAAGACAGUUCUGCGCUUGAUUGCGUGGGCUGGAUUGCGAGACUUUUACUUUGAGGAAAUUAGAGUGUUCACGGCAGGCUUUCGCCCGAAUACAUUAGCAUGGAAUAAUAAUAUAGGAUUUCGAUUCUAUUUUGUUGGUUUCUAGAAUUGGAAUAAUGAUUAAUAGGGACAAUUGGGGGCAUUCGUACUGACGCGUUAGAGGUCAAAUUCUUGGAUCGCGUCAUGACGAACUACUGCGAAAGCAUUUGCCAAGGAUGUUUUCA
rnacentral:rRNA from 1 species